rnacentral:rRNA from 1 species
GACGAACGCUGGCGGUGUGCUUAACACAUGCAAGUCGAACGGUAAGGCCCUUUCGGGGGUACACGAGUGGCGAACGGGUGAGUAACACGUGAGUAACCUGCCCUCAUCUCUGGGAUAACAGUCGGAAACGGUUGCUAAUACUGGAUAUGAGCUUGCAAGGCAUCUUGUGGGUUGGAAAGAUUUUUUUUGGUUGGGGAUGGACUCGCGGCCUAUCAGCUUGUUGGUGAGGUAGUGGCUCACCAAGGCUUCGACGGGUAGCCGGCCUGAGAGGGCGACCGGCCACAUUGGGACUGAGAUACGGCCCAAACUCCUACGGGAGGCAGCAGUGGGGAAUAUUGCACAAUGGACGGAAGUCUGAUGCAGCGACGCCGCGUGCGGGAUGACGGCCUUCGGGUUGUAAACCGCUUUCAAUUGUGACGAAGCUUUUUUGUGACGGUAGCAGUAGAAGAAGCACCGGCUAACUACGUG